rnacentral:rRNA from 1 species
GACUAAGCCAUGCAUGUCUCAGAUCCCCAUUUCACGGAAUCGGCGAACGGCUCAAUAUUACAGCUAUCACUUAUUCGGUGAUCCUUUGGAUAACUGCGGAAAUACUGGAGCUAAUACAUGCAACAUGCCGUGUCUUUGACACGGUGCAAUUAUUAGUACAAAUCAAUCGCUUUCGGGCGUUGUUUGUUGACUCUGAAUAACGUAGUUUAUCGGUGGUUUAUCUGCCGAAGUCCGAAAUAGGUGUCUGCCCUAUCAACUGACGGUAGUCUAUUAGUCUACCGAGGUUAUCACGGGUAACGGAGAAUAAGGGUUCGACUCCGGAGAGGGAGCCUUAGAAACGGCUACCACAUCCAAGGAAGGCAGCAGGCGCGUAACUUAUCCACUACCAAUAGUGAGAUAGCGACAGAAAAUAAAAAGACCAGUCCUCUGGAUUGGUUAUUUCAAUGAAUUGAGUCUAAACAGCUCUUUGAGUAACAAGUGGAGGGCAAGUCUGGUGCCAGCAGCCGCGGUAAUUCCAGCUCCACUAGUGUACACCGUUAUUGCUGCGGUUAAAAAGCUCGUAGUUGGAUUUGAGUCGUUCGUUUGCGUUGCUCUUUGAGCUUAACGUAGGCAGCGACUAUUUUGCUGGUUUGCUGUUGUAGCUUUCGGGCUCUUCAGUUGCUAGCGAGUUUACUUUGAAUAAAUCAGAGUGUUCAUGACAGGUGUUUGCCUGAAUGGUCUAUCAUGGAAUAAUAGAAUAGGACUUCGGUUCUGUUUAUUGGUUUCUGAACCGAUGUAAUGAUUAACAGGAACAAACCGGGGGCAUACGUAUUUCUGCGCGAGAGGUGAAAUUCGUGGACCGCAGAAGGACGCCUAAAAGCGAAAGCAUUUGCCAAGAAUGUUUUCAUUAAUCAUGAGCGAAAGUUAGAGUUUCGAAGGCGAUUAGAUACCGCCCUAGUUCUGACCGUAAACUAUGCCAUCUAGCGAUCCAAUGGGAUGUUAAGUCUCGUUGGGGAGCUNNNNAAACGAAAGUCUUUCGGUUCCGGGGGUAGUAUGGUUGCAAAACUGAAACUUAAAGAAAUUGACGGAAUGGCACCACCANNNGUGGAUUUUGCGGCUUAAUUUGACUCAACACGGGAAAACUCACCCGGCCCGGACACUGUUAGGAUUGACAGAUUGAUAGCUCUUUCUUGAUUCGGUGGUUGGUGGUGCAUGGCCGUUCUUGGUUGGUGGAGUGAUUUGUCUGGUUGAUUCCGAUAACGAGCGAGACUCUAACCUACUAAAUAGUUUCUGAAUCUUCUAGUUCAGUAAACCUCUUAGAGGCAUAAGCGGUGUGAAACCGCAUGAGAGAGAGCAAUAACAGGUCUGUGAUGCCCUUAGAUGUCCGGGGCUGCACGCGUAAUACACUGGGAGAAUCAGCUGGCCAUCCAUUGCCGAAAGGUAUUGGUAAACCGUUGAAACUCUUCCGUGUCCGGGAUAGGGAAUUGUAAUUAUUUCCCUUGAACGAGGAAUCGCUAGUAAGUGUGAGUCAUCAGCUCAUAUUGAUUACGUCCCUGCCAUUUGUACACACCGCCCGUCGCUGUCCGGGACUGAGCUGUUUCGAGAAGUGUGAGGACUUUUGUUGCGGGGCUUCGGCUCUUCUUCGAGAGAAAUCAUCCUAAUCGCAAUGGCUUGAACCGGGCAAAAGUCGUAACAAGGUA